CCCAUGCCGAAGGCCAUGGUUUUCUACCCCAUUGUUUGUAGCCUAUAGAGGGUUGCCAGUUGACUUUUACUUUGGCGGCCAUGUUGGAAGACCACCGCAUCAAUUCUUUCGACAACAACUGCUGAGUGGCUAACCCAAGCUGCAUGAUAGCAGUGCCUAAAACAAGUUGAUUCAUCACCACGGUAAAUUUCUGUGCAACAAGAUAGGAAAGACAAACAGGUUUUUUACAGAUAACACCAAUGAGAUAAGACUCAAGAACUGACAGAAAACCGAAGAAACCUUUCUGCCCGUCCAGACCUGCACUCAGACAGCUGUCAGUACAGGAUCUGCUCCAAUCAUUUCAUCAUUGCUGACCUCUAUCAGGACACCCAUGUUGACUGGAUUCCCACUGUGAAGACGAGCAACGCUUCAGCAGCAUCAGUUUCUACUUCCACCGCUUUGUCCCUUUCCCUCAGUUAAACAACGUGGUUGUCAUAUCCUGUGCUUUGGUCAAUGUUUGUCAUAUGCUGUGCUUUGGUCAAUCUGAAUGAUUCUGUUGUGCCAUUUAAGUAGAGAUGUUACGACUUCCGCCAAAGUCAGUCCCACUCCUUGUUCGGGCGCCAUUCGGCGGUCGACGUCACCGGCCUUCUAACCAUCGCCGAUCCACUUUUCAUUUUCCAUUUGUUUUUUCUUUGUUUUACACACCUGGUUUCAAUUCCCCAAUUACAUGUUCAUUAUUUAUCCCUUUGUUUUCCCCAUGGUUUUUCUGUGUGUUUGUUUUAUGUAUUUCGGUCCUAUUGUGUGGGCUUGGUAUUACUACAUGUAUUAGGUCAUUUUGAGUAAAGUUACUUUUUUUUACUCAU